rnacentral:lncRNA from 1 species
AGACAUUAGGAGCAGGCAGUAUCUUUUCUUUUUCUUUUUCUUUCUUUCUUUUUUUUUUUUUUUGACAGGAUGGGCUGGGGUUGGGGGAGGAGGAAGCAAGAAUUAAGCAGAGAAGGCAAGCUCCUUUCUGUUCAUCUAACUCAAACAACCCUGGUUACCAUCUGGUCGGCUGGACCAUGAAUGUUUCAAGGGCAAGGCCAUGUCUGAUUCAAUUCCACAUCCACAGCACGUAAAGCAACGUCUGGCAGAGCAAAGAACUCACCCAUCAAUUGAAUGACAUCAUGGCCAAUCUACGAGUUCUGGCUUACUUCUCAUGCUAUUAUCACAUCUGCCAAGACCCAAGUGACCACCUGGUAAUUACUUCAACAGCAGAGCGACUCAUACAGCCGGCAGUCCACUUUGUUCUUCUAUAGAUCCUGCCUGUGGUGUUGGAUCUAACAGCUUCUUCCCUGACCCAAGAUUAUGAAGGAUUUCUCCUGUGUUCUCUUCUAAAAAUUUUACAUUUAGGUACAUAAUCCAUUUUGAGCUAAUUCUUUUAAAUAGUGCAAAGUAUGGAUUGAAGUUCUUUUUUUUUUUUUUUUUUGCAGAUACAUAUUUAAUUUUUCCAGCACCAUUUGUUGAAAAGACUAAUGUUCUUGCCUGAAUAGCCUUUGCAUUGUUGUUGAAAAUCAUGUUCACACAUGUACACAUUCCACUGAUCUAUUUGCCUCUUUGUGAAAAUACUACUAUUUUGAUUAAUAUAUAUUUAUAGGGAGUCUUAAAAUCAUAUCUUAAAAAGAUAGUGGAAGUUAUUUAACCUUACUCUUGCUUUUAGAAAUUGUUUUGGAUAUUCUAGAUCUUUUGUGUUUCCAUAUAAAUUUUAUAAUCAGUUUGGCAAUUUAUUUAAAAUAUUCUUCUGGGAUUUUGAUGGACAUUACACUGAAUCGAUGGAUCGCUUUGGGGACAACUGACAUCUUAACAAUAUUGAGUCAUCUAACAUAUGAUCAUGGAAAUUGCUCCAUUUAUUUAGAUCUUCUUUCACAUCUUGAAGCAGUGUUUUGCGUUUUCAGUGUAUAGGUAUUUAAUAGAUUUAAAAAUAUGAUCCCUAAAUAUUCAAUGUUUUUGAUGCUAUUGGAAUUUUAAAAAAUUAAUUUCUGUUCUGAGGAAGGAAAAUAAUAAAAGAUUAAACAAGAAAAAUAAAAAUAAUCAAAAUAAAAGAUAAAUCAUUGACAAA